rnacentral:rRNA from 1 species
GAUGAACGCUGGCGGCGUGCCUAAUACAUGCAAGUCGAGCGAACAGACGAGGGGCUUGUUCCUCUGACGUUAGCCGCGCACGGGUGAGUAACACGUGGAUAACCUACCUAUGAGACGGGGAUAACUUCGGGAAGCCGGCUCUUAUCCCGUAUAAUAUCUAGCCCCCCAUGGUUCAAUAGUGAAGGACGGUUCUGCUGUCACUUAUAGACGCAUCCGCGUCGCAUUAGCUAGUUGGUAAGGUAACGCCUUACGAAGGCCACGAUGCGUAGCCGACCUGAGAGGGUGAUCGGCCAGACUGGAAGUGAGACACGGUCCAGACUCCUACGGGAGGCAGCAGUAGGGAAUCUUCCGCAAUGGGCGAAAGCCUGACGGAGCAACGCCGCGUGAGUGAUGAAGGUCUGAGGAUCGGAAAACUCUGUUAGUAGGGAAGAACAAAUGUGUAAGUAACUAUGAACGUCUUGACGGUACCUAAUCAGAAAGCCACGGCUAACUACGUG